UAUAUAUUUCUUGAAUUUUCUACAAUAAGCAUAUAUUUGUGCAUUAUUUCUGUGCGCUUUAGGAAUCUGGGAUAAGAUUUAAAAAAUGUAUUAAUAUUUGCAAUCAUGCCUUGUCAAUUGUAAAGUUGUGUACAUGCUAGUUGUUUAAAUUUGAUAAUCAUCUAUUUUGGAACAUCACUGCACUUGGCUGUAAGUACCUGGUGUUUUAAAUCUCUAUAAUAUUAAAUAUUAGAUAAAGCAUACAGAGAAACACUCAGGUAGCCUUUGUGUAAUGUAACAGAGUGUAUCUUAUUUUACCAGCAGAACCCUAUAUAUAAAAUGAACUUGCUUUUGAAUAACUGGGGGCAUAUUUAUGAGGCCAACAUCAAGAAAUGAAAAAGGUGACUUAUAAAGAAGUUAAGGUAGAACCAGAACUCCUGAAAGGCUGAAGUAAGAAAUCUUUGGUUGAGUUCGGUGUGUGAUCCAUCAGUAGAAUGGCUUCAGGAGUAGAGUCAGACUUACGACUCAACAAAUGCAGCCUGUUAACAAAUCUCUUUUCAACACGGGUAUAGUGUGCCUGUAUCAAAGCAUGAUUUACUUGGAUCUGUUGAGGCGGCAAUAAAUAAAUUUGGAAGCACUGAAUUGUAUUAGAAAAACAUGACUGAGCAUUUAAAGUGAAAUAAAUGGUAUGUUUGCCGACAA